rnacentral:rRNA from 1 species
CGUGGGAACCUGCCUUUAGGUUCGGAAUAACUCAGAGAAAUUUGAGCUAAUACCGGAUAAUGUCUUCGGACCAAAGAUUUAUCGCCUUUAGAUGGGCCCGCGUUAGAUUAGAUAGUUGGUGGGGUAAUGGCCUACCAAGUCGACGAUCUAUAGCUGGUCUGAGAGGAUGAUCAGCCACACUGGGACUGAGACACGGCCCAGACUCCUACGGGAGGCAGCAGUGGGGAAUAUUGGACAAUGGGCGAAAGCCUGAUCCAGCAAUGCCGCGUGAGUGAUGAAGGCCUUAGGGUUGUAAAGCUCUUUUACCAGGGAUGAUAAUGACAGUACCUGGAGAAUAAGCUCCGGCUAACUCCGUGCCAGCAGCCGCGGUAAUACGGAGGGAGCUAGCGUUGUUCGGAAUUACUGGGCGUAAAGCGCGCGUAGGCGGUCUAUUAAGUCAGGGGUGGAAUCCCGGAGCUCAACUCCGGAACUGCCCUUGAAACUGGCAGACUAGAAUCUUGGAGAGGCG